rnacentral:rRNA from 1 species
CCUACGGGGGGCAGCAGUGAGGAAUAUUGGUCAAUGGACGAGAGUCUGAACCAGCCAAGUAGCGUGAAGGAUGACUGCCCUAUGGGUUGUAAACUUCUUUUAUAUGGGAAUAAAACGUUCCACGUGUGGGAUUUUGUAUGUCCCAUAUGAAUAAGGAUCGGCUAACUCCGUGCCAGCAGCCGCGGUAAUACGGAGGAUCCGAGCGUUAUCCGGAUUUAUUGGGUUUAAAGGGAGCGUAGGUGGAUUGUUAAGUCAGUUGUGAAAGUUUGCGGCUCAACCGUAAAAUUGCAGUUGAAACUGGCAGUCUUGAGUACAGUAGAGGUGGGCGGAAUUCGUGGUGUAGCGGUGAAAUGCUUAGAUAUCACGAAGAACUCCGAGUGCGAAGGCAGUUCACUGGACUGCAACUGACACUGAGGCUCGAAAGUGUGGGUAUCAAACAGGAUUAGAUACCCGUGUAGUC